GAGAAUAGUUUUGUAUACAAUGCUGUUAUCUGCAUUCGGUGUAAAUUCGGUGUAAACAACGUUUUUAACGCAUGUGUCCCGCGCGCUGUCUCCUAGCAUCGCAUCAACUUGCUGCAUGCAGUGAAGUUUCGCACAAGGUCGUGUGUAUUCGACGCCGUCUUUGCGCACCUCUUGUUUUCUUAUCAUAUACUGUUCCGUCGUUGUUUACGCAGUUUCGGCAUGCACUAUCGGUGGAAUGCAGCCAGUUUCGUGCCGGUCGCUGAUUAAUCGAGUCGUGUUUUGAGAGACUUAUAUCGGUUAUUCGGACUUCAAUAUUCUAAAUUUGUGUUAUACUCGAAGAUCAAUCGACUAUUUAUUUGUACUUUGCGACUAUAGUAAUUUGUUUAAUGUUUGGAAAUGCCGGUUUUUGAUCGCGUUUGUUGUGUACAUUACAAGUCACGUGAUAGUGGAUUUGAUAACAUUCUUCACUCGGCGUUGUGUUUGGUGUCGGUAACUAAAUUAAACGCAUAUAUAUCGCCGCCAUGUUGAUUCUCAUCAUUAAGAUCUGUCUUAUCCGGCUCGUUUACAGCACUCGUUGUGCCUGGCAGUCCGAUAAGCUGUAGGCUGUUACAGCACUCGUUGUGCCUCACAGUAGGAUAGGCUGUACACUGGUAAGUUUAUAAUUAAAUUAUAUUUUUCAGUCAAAUUUGCAUUAGCUGUAUAUAGCAGGAAUUGUAGUGUUUUUAGUAUAACAUGCGAACCCGGCGUCAUAAUACGUUCAGAACCAUUUUCUUAGAUUCGGAAUUUAAUUUUGUAUCACCCUGUAUUUGAAUUUAUUUCAACAAAAUGCCGUAGUGCGAGGAAUAUUGAAAGUUGUGUGUAUGCGCAGUAGUACUCGUUGCUUUAGGUAUUGUAGUUUUUUCCGAAUAACACGCGAACGGGGUGCCAUAAUAACUUCGGAAUAAUUUUCCCUGAUGCGGAAUUUAAUUAUGUAUCUCCCUGUAUUAAACUUUAUUGCGAGAAAAUUCUGUAACGCGAGUUAUAUCGAAAGUUGUGCGUGUGCGCAGUAGUACUCGUUGCUUUAGGUAUUGUAGUUUUUUCCGAAUAACACGCGAACGGGGUGCCAUAAUAACUUCGGAAUAAUUUUCUCUGAUGCGGAAUUUAAUUAUGUAUCUCCCUGUAUUAAACUUUAUUGCGUGAAAAUUCUGUAACGCGAGUUAUAUCGAAAGUUGUGCGUGUGCGCAGUAGUACUCGUUGCUUUAGGUAUUGUAGUUUUUUCCGAAUAACACGCGAACGGGGUGCCAUAAUAACUUCGGAAUAAUUUUCCCUGAUGCGGAAUUUAAUUAUGUAUCUCCCUGUAUUAAACUUUAUUGCGAGAAAAUUCUGUAACGCGAGUUAUAUCGAAAGUUGUGCGUGUGCGCAGUAGUACUCGUUGCUUUAGGUAUUGUAGUUUUUUCCGAAUAACACGCGAACGGGGUGCCAUAAUAACUUCAGAAUAAUUUUCCUGAUGCGGAAUUUAAUUAUGUAUCUCCCUGUAUUAAACUUUAUUGCGAGAAAAUUCUGUAACGCGAGUUAUAUCGAAAGUUGUGCGUGUGCGCAGUAGUACUCGUUGCUUUAGGUAUUGUAAUUUUUUCCGAAUAACACGCGAACGGGGUGCCAUAAUAACUUCGGAAUAAUUUUCCCUGAUGCGGAAUUUAAUUAUGUAUCUCCCUGUAUUAAACUUUAUUGCGUGAAAAUUCUGUAACGCGAGUUAUAUCGAAAGUUGUGCGUGUGCGCAGUAGUACUCGUUGCUUUAGGUAUUGUAGUUUUUUCCGAAUAACACGCGAACGGGGUGCCAUAAUAACUUCGGAAUAAUUUUCCCUGAUGCGGAAUUUAAUUAUGUAUCUCCCUGUAUUAAACUUUAUUGCGAGAAAAUUCCGUAACGCGAGUUAUGUUGAAAGUUGUGUGUGUGCGGCGUAGUACUCGUUGCGCUUGCAACUGUAGUUUUUUUAUUAUUACACGCAAAUGCGGUGUCACAAUAACUUCGGAAUAAUUUUGCCUGAUGCGGAAUUUAAUUAUGUAUCUCCCUGUAUUAAACUUUAUUGCGAGAAAAUUUUGUAACGCGAGUUAUAUCGUAAGUUGUGCGUGUGCGCUGUAGUACUCGUUGCGUUGGGUAUUGUAGUUUUUUCCGAAUAACACGCGAAAGCGGUCUCACAGUGAGUUCGGAUGAAUUUUCUCCGCUGCAGAAUUUAAUUCCGUAUCUCGCUAUUGAUGAUGAUUCCAUAUACGAUUAAAUGAAUUUAGAACAUUUUGAAGCUGUUAUUUAUAUCAUUUUUGGUAAUUUUAU